CCUACGGGAGGCAGCAGUAGGGAAUAUUGCUCAAUGGGGGAAACCCUGAAGCAGCCACGCCGCGUGGAGGAUGAAGGUUUUCGGAUUGUAAACUCCUUUUGUUAGAGAAGAUAAUGACGGUAUCUAACGAAUAAGCACCGGCUAACUCCGUGCCAGCAGCCGCGGUAAUACGGAGGGUGCAAGCGUUACUCGGAAUCACUGGGCGUAAAGGGCGCGUAGGCGGGAUAGCAAGUCAGAUGUGAAAUCCUAUGGCUUAACCAUAGAACUGCAUUUGAAACUGUUAUUCUAGAGUAUGGGAGAGGUAGGUGGAAUUCUUGGUGUAGGGGUGAAAUCCGUAGAGAUCAAGAGGAAUACUCAUUGCGAAGGCGACCUGCUAGAACAUAACUGACGCUGAUGCGCGAAAGCGUGGGGAGCAAACAGGAUUAGAUACCCCUGUAGUC
rnacentral:rRNA from 1 species